UGCUGUUAGAAGCUGGGACCUCUAGAUCUCCACAAAUAACUGGAUAAUUCAGAAAAUUUCUGUUUCAGAAUACUCAUUCAACUGAUAUCAAAAAAGAAACAGAAAUUUCUCAUUCAGUGAGUAACGUAAAGAAAUAUUCCAGUUUGCUGCCCAGAAAACUAAAGAGAAAUUUUUCUUUCCUGAACUCUGUUUUGGUUGUCAUCUACAUAUUACUGAUAAUUUUUCUAUAAAGAAAAAGAAAUUUCUAUGGAGUUGCCUCUUUUACAUG
rnacentral:lncRNA from 1 species